UCCGCUCCGCGUGCUCGCACCGUACCUAAUCCCAUCCUCUCCCCUGGUCGUCCCGAUCCACACCAGCCGCCGCACAACCCUAGCCCCUUUCCCCUCGAUCCCCAUAGCCCCUCUCUCCUCCUCGCUCUCCGCCAUGGCCUCUGCACUAGGAGCCUCUCCAUGGCCUCCUACCCAUCCCCCCCACCACCAUAGGUGCACACAGACGGUGGAUCCGUGCCGGAGAAGAGCAGCUCCAGUUAUGGUGGGGUGCAUCUGUGCCGAAGAUGAAGGAGGCCCGCCGCCCGUCUUUGCCUCGUCGCUGCGUCCUUGUUGCUGCUCCUCCUCUCUCUCUCCGCACCUAGCAGUGCAGCAGCCGGGACAAGGGGAAGGAGCAGCCCGACCCGGCUCCAUCUCUCUCCUUCAUGCAGGAGAACUGGAUGAGCAGGUGGCGAGGGAAGCCGCCACGGCUAGCGGCGGCGCUGCACAGGAACGUCCACCUCCAGGGACCAGAUCUUGGCUAUGAUCUAUGCUGCUGAUUUGGCUAUCAACUGCUAAAUCUCCGAAUCAUUCAAAAUGUUUUGCCUAACUGCACGAGCCUUGCAUAUGACCACUGGGCCAUGUCUUUUGAUUUUACUACUGCUAUGGACAAAAGAAGUCUAAAGCUGGGAAAGACAACAACGUCAGGAGCCAACCGAGGGGAGACUCCAGGCAGAGAGAGGAAAGCUGCGCAAGUGCCCCUGGAAGCGAGGCAGCUCGGCGCCGUCGCGGAAGAGGAGCUACGCUUCCAUGGAGUAGAGCGACGAGGGGCUCCGACGUCGCUGUAGAGGAGGGAGGAGAUCCGCCGCCACUGCACCUCACAAUUCGACAGGAACCUCUCUGGAUGAUUCUGUCAAUUCGGGUGUUAUGCAUUUUUGAAAGUGUUGUGCAAUGGCAGAAAUUGGCAAGAGGACACCUCAAGUUGGUAUGAGGUUCAUAGAUUCGGAUGAGGCUUGGGUGUUUUGGGUAGAAUAUGGUGAGGAAAAGAUGCAAGUUUGAUGGAAAAGCGACUUCACACAGAUUUGUGUGUUCCAAUGAGGGCAUUAGAAGGAAAGCACAAACUGAUCGUGAGCCAAAGCGCAAACCCUGUAUAUGUACUGAUUUUAUUUUAGCCUAUCUCUGCUCAUGUGUGCAUCUAGUUCACUCUUUGGAUUAAACUAUAGCCAAGUGUACAACUAUACUUGCCUAAUAUAUCCAGUGUUCAGUGUCAAAAUUGUCCAGUUUGAAAAGGUUCCAUUACUUUACUAGCAUUGUUUCUUCUGUAUUCACUAAUCCUGCAAGUGUAGGCUGAGAACUAUACAAUUUGGACAGGUUCCAGUGUUGUGUUGUUGCCGUACAUAAUAUGCAAUUUGGACAGUUUCUUGUGUUUUUAUUAAGCCAAAUGUGGGCUGUGAAAUAUGUAAUUGGGAAUAUCUUGAUGCUUUGCUGCUGUUGUCAUUAUGUACUAGCAUUAGCAUUUGUGAAAAUGGGCAAUCUGAAGAGGUUUUGAGUGCCAUGUCGGCCCUGUUUCUAUGCUUGUGUAGUUGUGCUUUUGCCAAGUCUGCAGGUGUGGGCUGUUUUGCUUUGGGCAAAUCUCAUGCGUUGGAUCUGCAUUGGACGGCAGAUGAGAGGGGGCCAGUUACAAUGUGACUUGCUAGAGGCAAGUCACUGGAUCUCAGUCCGCUAGGCGAUGUGUGGUAGAAGUUGUACUCACAGGAAGACUAUUGUGCUGUGUAUAAACCACGUUCUACGAUUUACUUCUGCUAUGCAUAUUUACUUUCCAGUUUUAGGACUGAAAUCCAUCCAUUGUGAUGAAUUUGGUUGUAUGGGCAUUACCUAUUUGACUUAGGCUUGCUUCAUCACAUAUAAACUGCUUUUCUUUUCCCCACUGCUUGUAUGACCUAAAACUAUCAUGUAUAUGAGCCAAGUUAUUAGCAAUGUUUCACAUUUUCUUACUUGCAA